CUGCACGCGGCACCCCAGCUGAGGUGCGGGAAGGCGUUUUGUACCAGGAACUCUGGUCUGAAGGGCCGGCGGGGAGCACGCUGUGAGCCGGUGAAACCAGAUGAAGCACAAAGGAGAAAACAGGAAAGAGAUCUUCACAUAAACAGAUUCUUACUGGCUGGUGUGAAGAGUCAUUCCAAGCCCAAGAAGUAGAGGAAGUCUGCUGCGGUGACUCUGACACGUCCAUCUGCCUUAAGGUCCCUGUCCCCAGCAACAGCAGCGGGUGGCACUGCCUGAGCCCCCUUGCCCCUGCUCCUCAGAGUGAGAAGACC